AUUGAACGCUGGCGGCAGGCCUAACACAUGCAGGUCGAACGGUAACAGGAAGAAGCUUGCUUCUUUGCUGACGAGUGGCGGACGGGUGAGUAAUGUCUGGGAAACUGCCUGAUGGAGGGGGAUAACUACUGGAAACGGUAGCUAAUACCGCAUAACGUCGCAAGACCAAAGAGGGGGACCUUCGGGCCUCUUGCCAUCGGAUGUGCCCAGAUGGGAUUAGCUAGUAGGUGGGGUAACGGCUCACCUAGGCGACGAUCCCUAGCUGGUCUGAGAGGAUGACCAGCCACACUGGAACUGAGACACGGUCCAGACUCCUACGGGAGGCAGCAGUGGGGAAUAUUGCACAAUGGGCGCAAGCCUGAUGCAGCCAUGCCGCGUGUAUGAAGAAGGCCUUCGGGUUGUAAAGUACUUUCAGCGGGGAGGAAGGGAGUAAAGUUAAUACCUUUGCUCAUUGACGUUACCCGCAGAAGAAGCACCGGCUAACUCCGUG
rnacentral:rRNA from 1 species